UACGGAGGGUGCAAGCGUUAAUCGGAAUUACUGGCGUAAAGCGUGCGUAGGCGGUUCGUUAAGUCUGCUGUGAAAGCCCCGGGCUCAACCUGGGAAUGGCAGUGGAUACUGGCGAGCUAGAGUGUGAUAGAGGAUGGUGGAAUUCCCGGUGUAGCGGUGAAAUGCGUAGAGAUCGGGAGGAACAUCAGUGGCGAAGGCGGCCAUCUGGAUCAACACUGACGCUGAGGCACGAAAGCGUGGGGAGCAAACAGG
rnacentral:rRNA from 1 species